UCAAAUCUGGGGUUUCAUGUUUCAUGCAAGCAUGUAGGUCUACAAAACUUUAUUUAAAAUAUUUGUAAAAUCACAAGCCCCCCUCAUAGACAAAUAAAUGUAUUGUAUGAAAAUAAGAUAUGUAUGUCCUUCUCUUGACCCACACUCCGUAAAGGAGACAAGUCUGAUAAAUCUAGAGUUGACUUGUUUUGAUAUUAUUAGAAUGAACUGGCAAUUUAUGAAAACAUAUCUGGCAUCUCAUAUUGUAAUAUGAUAAUUAUGAUGUUUAUUCACCUCAUUAAGGACCCGGGGGUGGGAGGGUAUGUACAGUUUAAAUAGAAGGUAACUUUAACAAUAUGAAAUAAAUAACAAUCAUGCAGAUGUACUACUACUGCAAGAGUUCACAUUGCUGCCCUGUACACAUUUAACAUACAUGUAGUGUUACAUAUGUAAUACUGAUUUCAGACAAGAUUUUAAAAAUUAACCUAAUAAAAUACAUGUUAUGUGUGUAAUUUUCAAUAUAUCAGCAUUUUAAAGUUCACUAAACAUGCAUUGAGACACACAAUUUUAAAAUUGACAUUGUCUGACACAGUAUAAUUAAUGAUUAAUACUGACUGUGCAAAUAUUAAUUAUGAUGAUUUUUUUCUAAGCAUCAUCCUAAGGACCAGUGCAAGUUGAAAUGGGCUUCCAGCCAACAACUUCAACAGCAAUUUGCCAUGAAAAUCAGCAAGAAAGGUACUUCAUUUACAUUGAUGAUGUCAUAUCCCCUGGACCCCACAACUUUACAGGUUACAGAGAAAAUUCAAGAACUUCUGCAAAAUGUGGGACUUGGAUAGAAUCAAUAAUGUAUUUGUGAGCCCAGAGCAAUGGAUAUAUUGUGCAACAUACUAAAGUGUGAAUUUAAUGGAAAACAAGUACAUGUACUCAUGUAUUACAUGUCUUUUUUAAAGACAAUAAUAUUGUAUAAAUAUA